rnacentral:rRNA from 1 species
GAUGAACGCUGGCGGCGUGCUUAACACAUGCAAGUCGAACGGGACUUGUUAAGUUGAAACUUCGGUCGAUUCUUUUCAAGUCUAGUGGCGGACGGGUGAGUAACGCGUGGGUAACCUGCCUCACACUGGGGGAUAACAGUCGGAAAUGACUGCUAAUACCGCAUAAGCACACAGCAUCGCAUGAUGCAGUGUGAAAAACUCCGGUGGUGUGAGAUGGACCCGCGUUGGAUUAGCUAGUUGGCAGGGCAGCGGCCUACCAAGGCAACGAUCCAUAGCCGGCCUGAGAGGGUGAACGGCCACAUUGGGACUGAGACACGGCCCAG